AUGGAUUAGCGGCGGACGGGUGAGUAACACGUGAGUAACCUGCCUUAGACAUUGGGAUAGCCUCGGGAAACCGGGAUUAAUACCAAAUGAAAUCACAUAUGCACAUGCAUAAAUGAUCAAAGCUCCGGCGGUCUAAGAUGGACUCGCGUCCCAUUAGCUAGUUGGUGAGGUAACGGCCCACCAAGGCGACGAUGGGUAGCCGGCCUGAGAGGGUGAACGGCCACAUUGGAACUGAGAAACGGUCCAAACUCCUACGGGAGGCAGCAGUGGGGAAUAUUGCACAAUGGAGGGAACUCUGAUGCAGCGACGCCGCGUGAACGAAGAAGGCUUUCGAGUCGUAAAGUUCUUUUAUAUGGGAAGAUAAUGACGGUACCAUAAGAAAAAGCCCCGGCUAACUACGUGCCAGCAGCCGCGGUAAUACGUAGGGGGCUAGCGUUGUCCGGAAUCACUGGGCGUAAAGGGUUCGCAGGCGGAAAUGCAAGUCAGGUGUAAAAGGCAGUAGCUUAACUACUGUAAGCAUUUGAAACUGCAUAUCUUGAGAAGAGUAGAGGUAAGUGGAAUUUUUAGUGUAGCGGUGAAAUGCGUAGAUAUUAAAAAGAAUACCGGUGGCGAAGGCGACUUACUGGGCUCAUUCUGACGCUGAGGAACGAAAGCGUGGGUAGCAAACAGGAUUAGAUACCCUGGUAGUCCACGCUGUAAACGAUGAGUGCUAGGUAUCGGAAUAAUUCGGUGCCGCAGUUAACACAUUAAGCACUCCGCCUGGGGAGUACGUGCGCAAGCAUGAAACUCAAAGGAAUUGACGGGGACCCGCACAAGCAGCGGAGCAUGUGGUUUAAUUCGAAGCAACGUCAGCUCGUGUCGUGAGAUGUUCAGUUAAGUCUGGCAACGAGCGCAACCCCUAUCUUUAGUUACCAGCAUUUCGGAUGGGGACUCUAAAGAGACUGCCGAUGAUAAAUCGGAGGAAGGUGGGGAUGACGUCAAAUCAUCAUGCCCUAUAUGCCCUGGGCUACACACGUGCUACAAUGGAAGAUACAAAGGGAAGCGAAAUAGUGAUAUUAAGCAAACCUCAAAAAGUCUUUCCCAGUUCGGAUUGUACUCUGCAACUCGAGUACAUGAAGAUGGAGUUGCUAGUAAUCGCAGAUCAGAAUGCUGCGGUGAAUGCGUUCCCGGGUCUUGUACACACCGCCCGUCACACCAUGGAAGCUUGUAAUACCCGAAGCCUGCGAGCAAACCGUAAGGGAGCAGCAGUCGAAGGUAGGAUAGGUGACUGGGGUGAAGUCGUAACAAGGUAGCCGUAUCGGAAGGUGCGGCUG
rnacentral:rRNA from 1 species